rnacentral:rRNA from 1 species
UACGAAGGGGGGCUAGCGUUGUUCGGAAUUACUGGGCGUAAAGCGUGCGCAGGCGGCUUCUCAAGUCAGGGGUGAAAGGCCCAGAAGCUCAACUCUGGAAUUGCCUUUGAGACUCGAGUGGCUUGAGUACGAGAGAGGUGAGUGGAAUUCCCAGUGUAGAGGUGAAAUUCGUAGAUAUUGGGAAGAACACCGGUGGCGAAGGCGGCUCACUGGCUCGUAACUGACGCUCAUGCACGACAGCGUGGGAUCAAACAGG